rnacentral:tRNA from 1 species
CAGCGUUUAGUUUAUGGAAUAUCAAAUUUGGACUUUGAAGGGGUUUCGCUGA